rnacentral:lncRNA from 1 species
CAGGAGUGGAGAUGGCAGAGGACCGGCCCUUCAAAUUGUCCAAUGUAAGAGGGUCUGGAUCUGCAUAUGACUGGCAGCUUUGACCAUCACCAACUGGAAAUAGCACAGCACUGAGAGUCAGGAGAUCUGGGUUCUAAUCACAGACCCGCAUUUGCCCGCUGGGUGUCCUGAGAUAGCUCACUUAACUUCUCUUGGCCUCAAUUUCCUCAUCUGUAAAAUGGAGAUUCAAUACCUGUUUUCCUUCCCGCUCAAACUGUGACCACCCACAAAGAAUAGGAACUGAGGCCAACCUGAUUGCAUGGUAUCUACCUCACUGCUUAGCAAAGGGCUUGGCACAUAGUAAGCGCUUAACAAAUAACGCAAUUAUUAUCACUAUUAGAAUGAUGUGUUACCCGGCAUUAAACUGGAUGCAUGGCUACCCACCUGGGCCAUAGAGUUGUAAAAAGCUUUUGGAACCCCUUGGCCCCUCUACAGGCUCUUUCUCUUGGAGUGUUGUUCCUGCUGCUCUGUUUCUCUCCCAGCAACAUUCCCUUACUUAUCCAAGACAUGGAUGUUGAGUAGCUGCAGACCGGGAGGGACAUCCGCAUCCAGAGCCGAGGGGCAGAAAUUCUCCAGAGACAAGCGCAGCUCCCCACGUGAGCGGCAGGCUGUUCCCGAAGUCAAUGCUGGUUUUAUUGUCUCUGGAAACAAAGAGCCAGACAAAGGAAUGAGAGCUGUAUCUUCACCCACCCCAACAAUGCUUCACCUCCUCCCACAGCGUAUGCUGAAGUUGAGAGGGAUGGAAUGUGGAGGUACAAUAUAUUCAGAGAACUCCCACGUUCCAAUUUCCUUGAGGCAGAAACAGCCUGAGAAGAAAGGGCUCUGGGCGGAGAGGCUGAAGACCUGAUUUCUUGUCCCACUCACUCCCUCUGUGACCUCACGGGAGUCGAUUGAUGUCUCUGAGCCACCAUUUCCCCAUCUAUGAACUGGGUGUAAUGUUAAUGGUCCCAUUACUAUGCUUUGGGAUUUGAGGGCGGGCUUGGAAGUCAGAGGCAAGAUGGCUGCCCCCCAGGAGGGUCAAGAGAAGAGCAGAUGGACAAAACUGAAGGUAGGAACUGGGAAAGGGUGAAAGCAUGAGUGGAAGGGGGAGAGUUGAGCUUGGAGCCUAGAGAUAUUAUUUAUAUUGUUAUAAUAUUGUUAUAAUUAUAUUCAUUAUUUGCACAUAUGUAAUAUACUUAUAUAUAUUAAUGUCUGUACGCCCCUCCAGACUGUAAGCUCACUGUGAGCAAGGAACAAGUUUACCAACUCUGUUAUAUUGUAUUUCCCCAAAUGCAGCGCUCCGCACACAGUAAGCACUCAAUAAAUAUAACUGAUGUACUUACUAUGUGUCAAGCACCGUACUAAAUGCUGAGAUAGACACAAGAUCAUCAGGCCUCACAUACAGUUCACAGUUUAAGUAGGUGGAAGAGGAAGAGACACAGAGAAAGACAAGUGUAUACAAGCCUAGAACUGAUAUCUCCUAGUCGUAUAGGAAAAAUCAGCUCCUC